GAGCUUCAGUCUCUGAAGCCAAUCAGGGAAAACUGGAUGAAAGAUUGUUGAGGGGUUCAUUUAUUCAUGGCCCCUAACUCCUUAGUGUUUUCAUGCUAAAGAUCAAGAUGAGGAGUAUAGCAAUUUUAUUUAACCCAGCAGGUCUUCUUUGGCCAAUGUGUUUUUCCAUCGGGAGAGAAAUGCAAGAGUGCUGAAAACUCUGGUAGAUAGCAAAGCACAGAAAAUCCCUUUCACAAGUAGCAGAGACUUUGGUUACAAGGUGGGUUAGGGGGCUCAACCCCUGUUCUUUGUUAAGGUGGCAUCCUCAGCCUCCUGUCAUUUUUCGGGAAACUAAUUGGAGACUCUACUGACUAGGCAGGCCACAUAGACAAGGCCUGUACUGGAUGUUUGGGCUGUAUUUGUUGUUGUUGUUGUUGUUGUUGUAGCUCAAGUACUUUGAUUCCUGGCAUCAGAAAAGCCCAAAUCUAGAUCAAGAAUGAGUAUGUUUUUCAUCACUUAUUCUAUUUCACCAAUUUUAAGAUAUACUUUUCUCCUUAUUUUCCACAUUUUAACAUCUAUAAAAUUAAGGGCAUUGUGCAGUUACUGUCAGCCACGGAACAGUUGUGACAUAGUUGUCAUCAUCUAUGCAUGUGAAGACCUGGUCUUAGCUAUUAACAUAUUCGCUGCAAUUGUGUUUUGAAGCUGUAUGCAUUUUGAUUCUACAUAUGUUAAGUUUAAUUGAAAUUUGUAAUGUUUUAAAAUAAAUUAUACUAUGCUUUGGUAUUGAAAUAAAAC
rnacentral:lncRNA from 10 species